GGCAAACCUGGGGGCGCCGGUCCUUUCCUCAUUGAGCAGCUGGAGGUCUGGACUCCGGGCACUUUCGUUCUGAGACCCGCACCCUGGUUGUUCACAGCCCCUUGCAUUCCAAAUCUCCUGUGUCCUCCCGGCCCCGCCGGAUCCCUGCCUUCCAUCCGACAAACCUGCGCCAGCAAUAGAUACUCCCACCCCCUCAAAAUCACCCCAGCUGCAGCCUCUCCUCUCCCCCACCAGGACUUAGUGCAAGGAGGUAAGCGGAGUUUCUCCUCAACUUGAGUUUCUCUAAUAAAUCUGCGCUCCGCUGGGUGUUUAUAAAUUGUCUCCUCGCUCUUUCGUUUUUUUUUUUUUUUUUUCCUAUAACAGAAACAUUUUCCUUCCAUCAGGAAUUUCUGGCACGGUGUAGAGAUGAUUUAGAACAAGCCAUUGAAUUUGUACCUCGCCGGUGAGUUUUCAAAUAAUGACCAUAAAAUCCUCUGCACUUGAUAAAAAUGUUUGCUUCGGCAACAAUUUAACUCGGCCCUCCGUUGCCUCACGGUCCCCUCAGCCACGCGCUGAAAAUUCAAAGCCCUGGUUCUCUCCAUUCCUCCUCUUUUCCUUUAUCUCUCUCCCGCUUCUAGCCCCUCUCUCAUUCUCUAGGUUCACUUUUGAAGAACCAAAUGACCUCACUGGUAAGGUUCCCUUUGGAAAAGUGAUAGUUUCAUUUUUACAAAUGUUGGGGUGUAUGGGGUCCCCAAAAGGUGCCCGUCAAAAAAACAAACCACUGUUUCCUGAAUAAACAAUGGAUUGAAUAUAUUUGUAAAGCCUCCACUUUUGUUGCUCAAAAUUUUCUUUCUGUCUCUCAUUCCUCUCCCUUGCCAAUCUACUGCUACAGGAGGCUACUGGUUCUGACCCUCAGACUGGGGCCUUCUAAAGCCUGGCCACCACCAUCGUGAAGCCGGGUAGGCAGGGAACGCAGUGGCCACAGAGUGUGGCACCCAGUCAGCUUGUUCCAGCUUUCCGUGUUCAGACCUCUGGUUCCCAGGUCUGCAGGGAGAGCCAGGUUUAACUACAGGCUCCCCAAGGCGAAAGGAGAGAAAAUGGGAGACUCAGCAACCUUGCUUUAUCUGAAUUCCACACCCAAGUCAGUUUAGGUGGUGACAGUGGCUCAAAAGGUCUUGGGGACACUGAGGACUAAUAGAUGCCCUCCCAACACAUACUCUGCAGGCACUGCCUAGGGUGGCUGAGAGCAUAGGACAGCGGACACGAAGGCCAGGUGCCAGGGCCUGAUACCCAACCUUCUUUCCUUUUGAUGCAGUGAUGGGCUCAGUGGUCCCCUCUCACCCUUAGGCACUGCAGAAGGUGUGGGGGUCGGCCUGGGAAGGUUGGGAGCUAUUAAUAAUUGGGCUUGGCUACUGGGUCCCAAGGCCUGGGUGCAAGUGUCGGGUAGCCCAUUGGGGCUUCAUCCCUCUGAUGGCAUCAGGCCCUCUCCCUUCAUGCAAAGUCUGCCCUCAAAAGUGCUGAUGGGCUGAAGGGCCUUCAGGAGACCCCCUUUUCAGCAAGCAGAGAGUGCACAAACCUGCAGAAUCGGCAGUGGCAGCUCGAACUUUGCUCUGUGCUUCAACCACUGCUCAUUAACCAGAAAGUUUCUUCUUCCCUCCCGUUCCCUCCUCAAGAUCUCCCAGAUCCCUGUUUCACAGAAAAUUUUUGCUUAUUUGUUUAAUGAGAGGAAGUUUUGUGACUGGCCAGGGCAGGGCAGAGAGGGCAGGGCAGAGAAGGGACCUUUUGGGGGCUCCAGAGAAGGGGUGGGGGCAGGUGCUUGCCAGGACGGAAGGAGGUGAAAAUCUCAGAAAAGUCACCGUUUGUGCCAAAAAAAAAUCCCCAUAAUCAUUCUCAUUUCGGCUUCGUCACCCCCACCGUGCUGCAAUCGGGCGGCGGGGGCGAUCGAAGCUGCAGUUUUAUAGCUGUAGAGGAAAGAACUCGUAAAAUGCUAACAGCUUUUAUGCGCUGCGGCAUAAACAACAACAGACUCCGGCUUUAUUGCGUUUUAUAGUUUCUUAAAGAGUUUACAGCCGUUUUUUGGGGGGCCGGUUAUCCAGCCAAUUCCCUCCACACGAUAGUUAAACCUUUAUCAAUAAUAAGGAAAUUGAUCAUUAAAGCUUUAAAUAUGACUACCUCGUUUGUUUGAAAAUACGUUUAGGAGAGGAAGCUGUAUGAUUUGAUAACUUGUAUUAAAAUACCAAUUACAUUUAUAGGACCUUUUAAAACUCGGCGCAAUUAAACCGUGUUCUUUUACAUUUUUCCGAAGCGACCCUGACAUUUAGAAAGACUCCAAUUGCCUCGUUAAAAUCGCGAAAUUAACAGCGUGCCUACGCCUGGCGCGUUGUGUAUGUGUGUGUGCGUGUUUUUUUCCGUGACUCCCCCACAUCAGUCUUUGGGGGUGGUCUGCGAAGGUAUUUGAUUUGUUGUGAGGCGAGAGAUAUCUCAUUAAUGUAGGUAGUUAAACAGAUUUAAUCCGUAU
rnacentral:lncRNA from 1 species